rnacentral:lncRNA from 1 species
AGGCCGGACAAGCUUGUCUUUGUGGAAAUACGCUUAUCAAUCCUUCUUACCCACGUGUUCUAGACAGUGAAUGCAAUUUGCCCUGUCCAGGAGAAACUUUCCGAAUGUGUGGAGCUGGAUAUAGAAAUUCUAUCUACAGAGGUAAACUUCUUAUGUAUAUAACGAUAAAUGUUUAACAGUUUUCACCACAAUUAUGCUCAUAAUAUUAAAAACACAAAAAGAAACAACACACAAACGCAACAAAUUCCCAAUCAGUAAAGCUAUUGUAAAGCAAAAUAGAGAAAAAUUUAUGUACCAACUGUGUGAAAUUAUUUUAUCUGCCUUACCUAUCUACGUACAAUUAAGGUAUAUAAUUAAGUACAGAUAUGUAUGUGUGUUGUUAAUGUAUCUUAUGUCAUUGGAAAAUCCGCAAUCCCUUAAAACAUUUUCCACAUUUAUAUAUAUAAAUGUUUAAAACUAUCAUUUCGAUAACUCUCAGAAGCACAAAGAUACCAUUUAAAUAACGUUUUCUCUGUUUGUGUUCAGUAUUCUCGGUCCUCGUAUCUUUCUGCUAACAUUCACCAAAACCUCGCGGAAAUCUCACAUGCGUAGGUGCGUUCUAAAACUCAUGUACGUUCGUACAACAAAGUUUACAUUAAAAAUUAUAUAAUUGUCCCGAAUAAACAGCUGUCACGGAUGCAAAGAGCUAUUGGACAAUUAUUUUAAUAAAAAUAUCAAUCUUUGUAAGAUCUAGUUCAAAUAUUUAUAGUUUUUCACUUGCUUUCCAUCACGAUAUAAUAAACGAGACGUUUCUUCAAACACAACCAAAUCACCCACCAUGACAGCAUUUUGUCCAAUCACAGAAAGGAUUUUCGAGAAUGCGUAUUCUGUUGCCAUAGUUAAGCGUCCUUAAGUUCAAAGGGCACAAACCGAAACUAAUACCGAUGUAAGCUAAAAACUAAUUAUGAAUUGUGCGUGUUCCAUCAGGAUAUAUAGUUCAUGCUUCACUAGAGAUGACAAGAACUACAAAUUAAAUGAAAGAACAACUAUAUUUAGAACUUUUAAAAAAUCACGAAUUUGUUUUGUAAACAAGCUCAUUUUGUUUUCAUUAUCAUUAUAAAUAUAUUUGCAGUUUGAUGCUGAUGUGAUCAUAGAAAAAAAGCCAGAGUUUUACAGAAUUAUCGCAGUGCAUUACUAAAUAAUAAAAUAAAUAUUUUG